GACGAACGCUGGCGGUGUGCUUAACACAUGCAAGUGGUGCGACGAACCAGAGCUUGCUCUGGGGCAAAGCCGCGAACGGGUGAGUAACACGUGGGUAAUCUACCCCGAUGACCGGGACAACCCGAGGAAACUCGGGCUAAUACCGGAUGUGGUGCGGAGACAUAAGUCUCUUCACUAAAGGUAGCUUCGGCUUCCGCAUUGGGAGGGGCCCGCGGCCCAUUAGCUUGUUGGUGGGGUCAAGGCCUACCAAGGCAACGAUGGGUAGCUGGUCUGAGGGGACGAUCAGCCACACUGGGACUGAGACACGGCCCAGACUCCUACGGGAGGCAGCAGUGGGGAAUCUUGCGCAAUGCGCGAAAGCGUGACGCAGCAACACCGCGUGAGGGAAGAAGGCCUUAGGGUUGUAAACCUCUUUCAGAUGGGACGAAGGUUCUCCGGUGAAUAGCCGAGAGGAUUGACGGUACCGGCAGAAGAAGCUCCGGCUAACUACGUG
rnacentral:rRNA from 1 species